UGGGAUUAGAUACCCCUGUAGUCCUAGCCGUAAACGAUGGAUACUAGGCGUAGCUCGUAUCGACCCGAGCUGUGCCGGAGCUAACGCGUUAAGUAUCCCGCCUGGGGAGUACGCAGGCAACUGUGAAACUCAAAGGAAUUGACGGGGGCCCGCACAAGCGGUGGAGUAUGUGGUUUAAUUCGAUGCAACGCGAAGAACCUUACCAAGGCUUGACAUGUCACGAAUCCUGUGGAAACAUAGGAGUGCCUUAGGGAGCGUGAACACAGGUGGUGCAUGGCUGUCGUCAGCUCGUGUCGUGAGAUGUUGGGUUAAGUCCCGCAACGAGCGCAACCCUCGUUUUUAGUUGCCAGCAUUAAGUUGGGCACUCUAGAGAGACUGCCGGUGACAAACCGGAGGAAGGUGGGGAUGACGUCAAGUCAGCAUGCCCCUUACGUCUUGGGCUACACACGUACUACAAUGCUACGGACAAAGGGCAGCUACACAGCGAUGUGAUGCGAAUCUCGUAAACCGUAGCUCAGUUCAGAUCGAAGGCUGCAACUCGCCUUCGUGAAGGAGGAAUCGCUAGUAAUUGCAGGUCAGCAUACUGCAGUGAAUUCGUUCCCGGGCCUUGUACACACCGCCCGUCACACCAUGGAAGUUGGUCACGCCCGAAGUCGUUACCCCAACCGAGAGGAGGGGGAUGCCUAAGGUAGGACUGAUGACUGGGGUGAAGUCGUAACAAGGUAGCCGUACCGGAAGGUGUGGCUGGAUCACCUCCUUUUAGGGAGACCUAAUCCAUUUAGAAAUUUCCCAGCAAUUUUCAUUGCUAGAAACUAAAUUGGUCUAACCUAGGUCGGUCGCAGACUUGAAGUAAAGCUUUCAAACUAUGAUUUGGUUCGAUAAGGGCUAUUAGCUCAGGUGGUUAGAGCGCACCCCUGAUAAGGGUGAGGUCCCUGGUUCGAGUCCAGGAUGGCCCACCUGAAGCAAGUCAAAAGUGAAAAGUCAAAGGUCAAAGGUAUAUUCCUUUUGAAUUUUGCCUUUUGAAUUUUGAAUUGUUUUUGGGGGUUUAGCUCAGUUGGUAGAGCGCCUGCUUUGCAAGCAGGAUGUCAGCGGUUCGAGUCCGCUAACCUCCACAUUGGAAAAAAAACAGCACCUAACUAUAAAAGUUAGACUGCUGGGUGAAAUUCCAGCCAGAACCUUGAAAACUGCAUAAGAGAACGAGAAAAAGCAGGCAGACACAGACAUGAGAGUGUUUCGUGAAAGCAAAGAAAAAUUGUGGUCAAGCUAAUAAGGGCUAAUGGUGGAUACCUWGGCACACAGAGGCGADG
rnacentral:sRNA from 1 species